rnacentral:lncRNA from 1 species
AGCUUCGGCGCCCUCCUCCAGUCACUGAGCAGCUCGAACCGGGCCGCUCGCCCCCCCGCCCCCCGCCGCCCUCCCAGCUCCCGCCCGCCGCGGCCGCGCGCUCCGCCGCCUGGCGGCCUUCGGAGGUGCCAAGGAAGGCGGGCUGCGGAGAAGGCAGCACCGGCCCUGCGCUGCGGACGGCGACCACGGCCGCGCGGGACCUCGGGCCGGAGAGCCCCGGCGGCGGCCGCCCCUCGCGGCGGAGCCGUUAGUCAGCAGAACGCGAACGCGCGUGGAGGGGCCCCACGAAGCGCGCCCGGGCACCGCAGCUCUCUUUCGCGUCCUCGCCGGGCCGGGCCGCGGGCGCAGAGUCGGCGGGCGGCGCCCCGCGGAGGACAGCGCGUUGGCGGCCGCGGCCGCCCAGCUGCAGAAGAUGAAUAAUCUGUCAUUUAGUGAGCUAUGUUGCCUCUUCUGCUGUCCACCUUGCCCAGGGAAAAUUGCUUCAAAACUAGCAUUCUUGCCACCUGAUCCAACUUACACACUGAUGUGUGAUGAAAGUGGAAGCCGCUGGACCUUACACCUGUCAGAGCGAGCAGACUGGCAGUACUCGUCCCGAGAAAAAGAUGCUAUUGAGUGUUUCAUGACAAGAACCAGUAAAGGCAACAGAAUUGCUUGUAUGUUUGUGCGUUGUUCACCAAAUGCUAAGUAUACCUUACUCUUCUCACAUGGAAAUGCUGUUGAUCUUGGUCAGAUGAGCAGUUUUUAUAUAGGUCUGGGUUCCCGCAUUAAUUGUAACAUAUUCUCCUAUGACUACUCCGGAUAUGGUGCUAGUUCUGGAAAGCCAACAGAGAAGAACCUGUAUGCAGAUGUGGAAGCUGCCUGGCUGGCUCUUCGGACAAGGAAUGCGAGUUGCUUUCCCUGAUACUAAGAAGACCUACUGUUUUGAUGCAUUCCCAAACAUUGACAAAAUCUCUAAGAUAACCUCUCCAGUAUUAAUAAUUCACGGGACUGAAGAUGAAGUCAUUGACUUUUCCCAUGGCCUCGCAUUGUUUGAGCGCUGCCAAAGACCUGUGGAGCCCCUGUGGGUUGAAGGGGCAGGACACAAUGACGUGGAGCUUUAUGGACAAUACCUUGAGAGGUUAAAACAGUUCGUGUCACAGGAACUGGUAAAUUUGUAAACUACUCUGUAAAUUUGCAGACUGGGUUUUCUUUUCUUGCUGAACUGCACUCCUUGGUAAAUAACAUAAAACCUGAAGGUUUUGUUUACAAAUCAUGUAAGUUGCCUUCAUAACUGUACAGGUAAUGAUUUGUUAACAGACUUAAUGAAGGUUUUAAUUACCAUAACUUGAAACUGGAAAUAGCAGUAUCAUGCAGUCAGGCUGUGUAAUUUAUAUUUUUUCUGUGAAUUUUUUUUAAACAUCAAGAUGAGUACUGUAUGAAAUUUUAAUUCUAUAAAAUCAAAUGCUGUAAAAGUAUUGUCAAAUGCUUUUGCAUAUCAAAAGCAAAUUUAUAAAUAUUUUUAAACAUCUCAAUGUACUAAAUAUCCUGGUAUACAAAUGUAAUAUUCUUUCAAAAAGCUGUAUAUCUAAAGCAAUUCAAGUACUCAGAAUAAACUGUAAAAAACAAAACGGUUUGAAAACAUCCAAAUUGAGUUGAUAUAUACUCCACUGUACAGGGAUAGAGGCUUAAAUGGUUAUUUUAUUGUUAAAAAAAAUGCAUUGACUUUUCUGUAUUCUCCAAUUAUAGUACAUUUAUCCUUUAAAAAAAUGAAGUCUUAAUUUUUAUGCCAUCUGUUAACUUAGCAGCUCUUCAUCCUGUCACUGAGAAGUCCUGAUGGCGCUGGAUUUUAACUAGUUCUGACUUAUGUUUGGUACUGUGAGACAACUACUUAACAUUUUCAUUCAGUUAUUUAAAGGACAGUUAGGGCUUCAAGAAUGAUUUUGUAUGCAAUGUUGUUUUAAAUUUGACUAAUUAUUAGAACUGUAGUAGUCUUCCUUAUAUGAAUACUUGAAACUCCGUUAGUUGAUCUUCAAGACCACAGAGAGACUGGCUGUUUGGUUCCUUUCCACCUCUGCUGUUUUUAAGAGUAGGGCCUGUUCUUUUGGAGUAGUAUCUGAGAAUGUCAUGGGUUCCCUCCUGAAUGCAGGGGAUAAGAAAACAUGCCAUACAUUUUAUAUUAACCAGUAUAGUAAAAAAAAUAAAAUAAAUAAAUAAAGCUCACACACAAAAACUAAGUUGCCUUUCCUUGAAUGAAUCCUGCCUGAAAAAUG